rnacentral:rRNA from 1 species
CCUACGGGGGGCAGCAGUGGGGAAUAUUGCACAAUGGGGGAAACCCUGAUGCAGCGACGCCGCGUGAGUGAAGAAGUAUUUCGGUAUGUAAAGCUCUAUCAGCAGGGAAGAAAAUGACGGUACCUGACUCAGAAGCCCCGGCUAACUACGUGCCAGCAGCCGCGGGAAUACGUAGGGGGCCAGCGUUAUCCGGAUUUACUGGGUGUAAAGGGGGCGUAGACGGGCUGACAAGUGAGAAGUGAAAGCCCAGGGCCCAACCCUAGGACUGGUAUUGAAACUGGCGGGCUGGAGUGCAGGAGAGGUAAGCGGAAUUCGUAGUGUAGCGGUGAAAUGCGUAGAUAUUACGAGGAACACCAGUGGCGAAGGCGGCUUACUAGACUGUAACUGACGUUGAGGCUCGAAAGCGUGGGGAGCAAACAGGAUUAGAUACCCGUGUAGUC